UACGAAGGGGGCUAGCGUUGUUCGGAUUUACUGGGCGUAAAGCGCACGUAGGCGGAUCGAUCAGUCAGGGGUGAAAUCCCAGGCUCAACCCUGGAACUGCCUUUGAUACUGUCGAUCUGGAGUAUGGAAGAGGUGAGUGGAAUUCCGAGUGUAGAGGUGAAAUUCGUAGAUAUUCGGAGGAACACCAGUGGCGAAGGCGGCUCACUGGUCCAUUACUGACGCUGAGGUGCGAAAGCGUGGGGAGCAAACAGG
rnacentral:rRNA from 1 species